CCUACGGGAGGCAGCAGUGAGGAAUAUUGGUCAAUGGACGAGAGUCUGAACCAGCCAAGUAGCGUGAAGGAUGACUGCCCUAUGGGUUGUAAACUUCUUUUAUAUGGGAAUAAAACAGGGUAUGCAUACCCUCUUGUAUGUACCAUAUGAAUAAGGAUCGGCUAACGCCGGGCCAGCAGCCGCGGUAAUACGGAGGAUCCGAGCGUUAUCCGGAUUUAUUGGGUUUAAAGGGAGCGUAGGUGGAUUGUAAAGUCAGUUGUGAAAGUUUGCGGCUCAACCGUAAAAUUGCAGUUGAAACUGGCAGUCGUGAGUACAGUAGAGGUGGGCGGAAUUCGUGGUGUAGCGGUGAAAUGCUUAGAUAUCACGAAGAACUCCGAUUGCGAAGGCAGCUCACUGGACUGCAACUGACACUGAUGCUCGAAAGUGUGGGUAUCAAACAGGAUUAGAUACCCUUGUAGUC
rnacentral:rRNA from 1 species